GUGGUUUGAUAGCGCCAUUAAAGAUCUCCCACACCCACAAAAAUCCUGGAAGGAAAUUUUAUGCUUGUCCGACUUAUGGAACGGGAGAAACAAGAUGUCAAUUCUUCAUUUGGGCAGAUAUACUUCAAUCAGUAUUAUCUGAGAAAAACCUGACAAGAGAGAAUGAAAUUCGGAAGAGGGAGGAUGCUUUGUUGUUGCGUGAGUAUGAA